rnacentral:rRNA from 1 species
CAAAGGCUUGGUCCUAGCUUUUCUAUCAUUUCUAGCCUAGAUUACACAUGCAAGUCUCCGCUCCCCCGUGAGGAUGCCCUGCAGUUCCCCUACCCGGGAACAAGGAGCUGGUAUCAGGCACAGCCUAGUAAAGCUACCGCCCACGACACCUUGCUUAGCCACACCCCCAAGGGAUUUCAGCAGUGAUUAACCUUAAGCCAUAAGUGAAAACUUGACUUAGCCACAGCUAAUAGGGCCGGUAAAUCUCGUGCCAGCCACCGCGGUUAUACGAAAGACCCAAACUGAUAGAUGCCGGCGUAAAGAGUGGUUAAGUAUCUUGAUAGAACUAAAGCCGAACGCCCUCAAGACCGUCAUACGUUUCCGAAGGUAUGAAGCCCAACUACGAAAGUAACUUUAACUGUAUCCGACUCCACGAAAGCUGUGAAACA